rnacentral:misc_RNA from 1 species
UCCCGUUUGACACGGGCAGUCCCUCUAGAGUGCCCAACUAAAUGAUGGCAACUAGAGGCAAGGGUUGCGCUCGUUGCGGGACUUAACCCAACACCUCACGGCACGAGCUGACGACAGCCAUGCAGCACCUGAGCAGGAUGGUAUUGCUACCUCGUUGGGCUUUCACCCUUCUACUACCUGCAUGUCCAGCCUGGGUAAGGUUCUUCGCGUUGCGUCGAAUUAAACCACAUGCUCCACCGCUUGUGCGGGCCCCCGUCAAUUCCUUUGAGUUUCAGUCUUGCGACCGUACUCCCCAGGCGGCGAACUUAACGCGUUAGCUUCGAUACUGGGCACCAAGUUGUGCCCAACAUCCAGUUCGCAUCGUUUAGGGCUAGGACUAC